rfam:Schistosoma mansoni strain Puerto Rico chromosome 1, complete genome
AUCCAACUGACGAGUCCCAAAUAGGACGAAACGCGCGUCCUGAAU